rnacentral:rRNA from 1 species
AUUGAACGCUGGCGGCAGGCCUAACACAUGCAAGUCGAGCGAGCGGCGGACGGGUGAGUAAUGUAUGGGCAACUGCCCGUUAGAGGGGGAUAACUACUGGAAACGGUGGCUAAUACCCCCUACUAUCCGAUGAACCCAUAUGGGAUUAGCUAGUGGGUGGGGUAAAGGCUCACCUAGGCGACGAUCUCUAGCUGGCCUGAGAGGAUGAUCAGCAAAACGGGGACUGAGACACGGCCCAGACUCCUACGGAGGGCGGCAGUGGGGAAUAUUGCACAAUGGGCGAAAGCCGGAUGCAGCCAGGCCGCGGGUAUGAAGAAGGCCUUGGGGUGGUAAAGUACGUUCAGCGGGGAGGCGUUACCCGAAGAAGAAGCACCGGCUAACUACGUGCCAGCAGCCGCGGUAAUUC